rnacentral:rRNA from 1 species
UACGUAGGUGGCAAGCGUUGUCCGGAUUUAUUGGGCGUAAAGGGAGCGCAGGCGGUGAUUUAAGUCUGAUGUGAAAGCCCACGGCUCAACCGUGGAAGGUCAUUGGAAACUGGAUCACUUGAAUAUAGAAGAGGAAAGUGGAAUUCCAUGUGUAGCGGUGAAAUGCGUAGAUAUAUGGAGGAACACCAGUGGCGAAGGCGACUUUCUGGUCUAUUAUUGACGCUGAGGCUCGAAAGCAUGGGUAGCAAACAGGAUUAGA